GAAGGCCCAGACAGCCAGGAUGUUGGCUUAGAAGCAGCCAUCAUUUAAAGAAAGCGUAAUAGCUCACUGGUCGAGUCGGCCUGCGCGGAAGAUGUAACGGGGCUAAACCAUGCACCGAAGCUGCGGCAGCGACACUAUGUGUUGUUGGGUAGGGGAGCGUUCUGUAAGCCUGUGAAGGUGUACUGUGAGGUAUGCUGGAGGUAUCAGAAGUGCGAAUGCUGACAUAAGUAACGAUAAAGCGGGUGAAAAGCCCGCUCGCCGGAAGACCAAGGGUUCCUGUCCAACGUUAAUCGGGGCAGGGUGAGUCGACCCCUAAGGCGAGGCCGAAAGGCGUAGUCGAUGGGAAACAGGUUAAUAUUCCUGUACUUGGUGUUACUGCGAAGGGGGGACGGAGAAGGCUAUGUUGGCCGGGCGACGGUUGUCCCGGUUUAAGCGUGUAGGCUGGUUUUCCAGGCAAAUCCGGAAAAUCAAGGCUGAGGCGUGAUGACGAGGCACUACGGUGCUGAAGCGACAAAUGCCCUGCUUCCAGGAAAAGCCUCUAAGCAUCAGGUAACAUCAAAUCGUACCCCAAACCGACACAGGUGGUCAGGUAGAGAAUACCAAGGCGCUUGAGAGAACUCGGGUGAAGGAACUAGGCAAAAUGGUGCCGUAACUUCGGGAGAAGGCACGCUGAUAUGUAGGUGAAGCGACUUGCUCGUGGAGCUGAAAUCAGUCGAAGAUACCAGCUGGCUGCAACUGUUUAUUAAAAACACAGCACUGUGCAAACACGAAAGUGGACGUAUACGGUGUGACGCCUGCCCGGUGCCGGAAGGUUAAUUGAUGGGGUUAGCGGUAACGCGAAGCUCUUGAUCGAAGCCCCGGUAAACGGCGGCCGUAACUAUAACGGUCCUAAGGUAGCGAAAUUCCUUGUCGGGUAAGUUCCGACCUGCACGAAUGGCGUAAUGAUGGCCAGGCUGUCUCCACCCGAGACUCAGUGAAAUUGAACUCGCUGUGAAGAUGCAGUGUACCCGCGGCAAGACGGAAAGACCCCGUGAACCUUUACUAUAGCUUGACACUGAACAUUGAGCCUUGAUGUGUAGGAUAGGUGGGAGGCUUUGAAGUGUGGACGCCAGUCUGCAUGGAGCCGACCUUGAAAUACCACCCUUUAAUGUUUGAUGUUCUAACGUGGGCCCCUUACCGGGGUUGCGGACAGUGUCUGGUGGGUAGUUUGACUGGGGCGGUCUCCUCCUAAAGAGUAACGGAGGAGCACGAAGGUUGGCUAAUCCUGGUCGGACAUCAGGAGGUUAGUGCAAUGGCAUAAGCCAGCUUGACUGCGAGCGUGACGGCGCGAGCAGGUGCGAAAGCAGGUCAUAGUGAUCCGGUGGUUCUGAAUGGAAGGGCCAUCGCUCAACGGAUAAAAGGUACUCCGGGGAUAACAGGCUGAUACCGCCCAAGAGUUCAUAUCGACGGCGGUGUUUGGCACCUCGAUGUCGGCUCAUCACAUCCUGGGGCUGAAGUAGGUCCCAAGGGUAUGGCUGUUCGCCAUUUAAAGUGGUACGCGAGCUGGGUUUAGAACGUCGUGAGACAGUUCGGUCCCUAUCUGCCGUGGGCGCUGGAGAACUGAGGGGGGCUGCUCCUAGUACGAGAGGACCGGAGUGGACGCAUCACUGGUGUUCGGGUUGUCAUGCCAAUGGCACUGCCCGGUAGCUAAAUGCGGAAGAGAUAAGUGCUGAAAGCAUCUAAGCACGAAACUUGCCCCGAGAUGAGUUCUCCCUGACUCCUUGAGAGUCCUGAAGGAACGUUGAAGACGACGACGUUGAUAGGCCGGGUGUGUAAGCGCAGCGAUGCGUUGAGCUAACCGGUACUAAUGAACCGUGAGGCUUAACCUU
rnacentral:rRNA from 1 species